rnacentral:misc_RNA from 1 species
GUGAAUCAUCGAAUUUUUGAACGCAAAUUGCACUCUCCGGUUUUCCGGGAGAGUAUGCCUGUUUGCGGGUCAGCCUAAAACAAAUCGCCAUUGUUGAUGUUAUUUAUUGGUGACUUUCGUCGGAGAUUGGGUUAUCGUCAACCUUUUUUUUUUUUGGUUUAAGCGACUUAAAAUUUUUUUUCAUGUUCCCAUGAAUGUUUCUAUGAUUUUUAUUUCUUAUACGUUUAAGGUUUAUCGAUCUUUUAUCAGACGUGACCGUUGCC